rnacentral:rRNA from 1 species
GGCGGAUGGGUGCGUAACGCGUAUGCAACUUGCCUCACAGUGGAGAAUAACCCGGAGAAAUCCGGACUAAUGUUCCAUACACUCUUAGGGACCCAUGUCCCUGAGAGGAAAGAUUUAUCGCUGUGAGAUAGGCAUGCGUCCUAUUAGGUAGUUGGUGAGGUAACGGCUCACCAAGCCGACGAUAGGUAGGGGUGCUGAGAGGCAGAUCCCCCACAUUGGGACUGAGACACGGCCCAAACUCC